UACGGCAACAUCACGUUGAAACACCGCAUUUUGUAUGAUCACCGAAUUUAAGCAACGUCGAGCCUGGUCAGUAACUAGAAGGGUGACCGCUUGGAAAUACCAGGUACUGUAAG